rnacentral:rRNA from 2 species
GUUGACCUCGGAUCAGGUAGGACUACCCGCUGAACUUAAGCAUAUCAA